rnacentral:lncRNA from 1 species
CAACAAGUCCAUCAUACAACAAACGUGUGUGCGUUCCUUUGCACAAAACUGUGCUCAUCGUCUAUCUAACAAACAGAUAAAGAAACAUCAAGUGAUCCAUCGUAUCAUCAGAAAGAUCAUAUCAUCCUCUCCUGGCAUGCUUUCACGCAGCAAUUCAAGAUACACUCGAUUAAUCCUCUACCCUGACGGCUGCCCGCAGACGACUUGAUCUUCCUUAAUUCGCACCACCAUUGUCAGACCCGUCCCGGCUGCCAAACCUUCAAUCACCAUAGCAGAUGGAUACCAGACCACAUGUUAGUAGUUAACAACAAUAGGACUUCAGCCCAUUUCUUUGAUUUUUGACAAGAUAAGAUCGAUCGAGCACAAAUGGGUGAAUUUCUUAAAUUCUAAGGCCAAGACUAAUAAGACACAA